CCUCAAUUCUCUCUCUCACAACCGCUCCGAGUAUUUUGUUUUUCAAUAUCCUUUUUCCUGGGGAUUUAGAGGUCUGAGAGUCCUCGCCCUUGAAUGUAGAUUUUCUUUAGUGAGAGACCUCUUGCAGUUAAUUUGUUUCAAACAGUGUUCAUCCAAAAUUUAUUUGUUUUGUUAACAAAAUCAUUUGUGUCCUUUGCACUUUUAACUUUCAAAAGUUACGAUUCUAGUUUUAAGUGCAUAAAGAGCCUAUAAGGAGCUGAGAUCCUAGGGUGGGACUAUUUUAAUUGGAAAGGUUAGCAGAAUAUAGAAGGAAAACUGUGAUUGGAAGGAUAAUUUUUCAAAUAACAAUUUUGGCUCUGAAGACUGGAGUCGGAAGUCUAUCAAAAUUUUCCCAAGCAGUUGGUGGUUUCUCGUUUCCUGUGAGUAGCAUAUGGUCAUUGUCUAUGGAUGCGUGUGUUGCUCGUAAGCUUGUAAUUUUAUUUGGACAAAUAACAAAUGGUAGGAAUUAUCCCAGCUGUUUUAUGAAUGGACAGUCUUUACUUACUUACUAAUCUUGGGUCUUGUAAGAUUUUCCGGAAAAUAUCUGCUCGUUGAUCAUGUUUAUAUUUCCACUAUAAAAGCUCGUUGUGCAUGCGCUAUAGUGCAUGUCUGCUAAUCUUGAGCUUAAAGUGUUACUAUAGACUGCCCACUCUCGUAGAAACAACAUGAUAGGGAUGCUUUGAUUGAGUACAUGUUUGUUCCUUAGUGUUCGUUGUACACCAUCUAGUGGGUUGGUGGUGGCCGUUACCUAGAUUUCUCAUGUGUUUGGUCUUUUCAUUGUCGGUUUGGUGUGCUGAAAGUAGGCUGUAUUUUUUGGAAGUUGUCUUCAUUUUGUAUGUUUGCUUGAGAAAUUUUUGGUCAAGCUUGUAGAAAAAGAUUUCAUACUAUGAAAAUAAGUUGCAAUUGUUUCUCAAAUUUGUUAAUACUAUGAAAAAAAGUUGCAAUUAUCAAAAAGAGUUGCAAUUGUUUCUCAAAUUAGUUAUAAAACAAACUUCAUUUGCUGCAAAAAAAUUCUUUCAUUUGCAGGUGGGUUUUUGUUUGGGCUGCUGUUGUUAGGUUUGGGUGUUUGGGCCUAGUUCACUUGUUUGGGUUGGGUUCUUUUUGGGUGUUUGUUGAUGCCCUACCAACGUUUGGGUUUUUUUUUUUUUUU